CAAACAUAUAUUUGACAACGGUGAAGAACGAGGACAAGAUGGAGUUCAGUAAAGUCCUUGAGGCUAUUAAGGCAAACUUUAAUGACAAAUAUGAAGAGAACCGGAAGAAGUGGGGAGGAGGGAUAAUGGGAUCCAAAUCACAGGCCAAGACUAAGGCUAAAGAGAGAGUUCUAGCCAAGGAAGCUGCUCAGAGGAUGAAUUAAUCUAUAGUUUUAUAUUUUGCCUUAAAAAGUCUUUUGUUUUAGCUGUUGGGACCCCUCUUUACACCGCCUUGAGUAUCCCAUAUUUGACUUGGGCUUUAUGGAA